rnacentral:tRNA from 1 species
AGUCUUAUAGUCAAAAAUAAAUGAUUUAAAAUUGCAAAUUUUAAGGAGUAAUUAUUAAUUACUAAGACUU